CUGGUCCUUGAGAUCAGACGGACUGCUCAGUAACACGUGGGUAAUCUGCCCUCGGGACGGGGAUAACCCCGGGAAACUGGGGAUAAUACCCGAUAGACAGAAAUGUCUGGAAAGAUUUUCUGUUCAAAUCCUACGGGACCCGAGGAUGAGCCUGCGGCCGAUUAGGUUGUUGGCGGUGUAAAGGACCACCAAGCCUGAGAUCGGCACGGGCACUGAGAGGUGUAGCCCGGAGAUGGGGGCUGAGACACGGCUCCAGGCCCUACGGGGCGCAGCAGGCGCGAAAACUCCGCAAUGCGCGAAAGCGUGACGGGGGAACCCCAAGUGUGUUCGCGUUUAGUGAAUACUUUUGCAGAGUAUAAAUAGCUCUGAGAAUAAGAGCGGGGUAAGACCGGUGCCAGCCGCCGCGGUAACACCGGCCGCUCGAGUGGUGGCCACUAUUAUUGGGCCUAAAGCGUUCGUAGCCGGUUCAUUAAGUCCCUUGGGAAAUCCGCUCGAUUAACGAACGGAAGUCCAGGGGAUACUGGUGGACUAGGGGGCGAGAGAAGUCAGAGGUACUCCGGGGGUAGCGGUGAAAUGCUGUAGUCCUCGGGGGACCACCAGUGGCGAAGGCGUCUGACUAGAGCGCGCCCGACGGUGAUGGACGAAAGCCAGGGGAGCGAACGGGAUUAGAUACCCCGGUAGUCCUGGCCGUAAACGCUGUGGGCUAGGUGUUACGUCCUCUACGAGGGGAUGUAGUGCCGAAGAGAAGUUGAUAAGCCCACCGCCUGGGAAGUAUUACCGCAAGGUAGAAACUUAAAGGAAUUGGCGGGGGAGCACCACAAGG
rnacentral:rRNA from 1 species